rnacentral:rRNA from 1 species
CCUGCGGGUGGCUGCAGUGGGGAAUAUUGGACAAUGGGCGAAAGCCUGAUCCAGCCAUGCCGCGUGUGUGAAGAAGGCCUUCGGGUUGUAAAGCACUUUCAGUGGGGAAGAAAGCCUUGGGGCUAAUACCCUCGAGGAAGGACAUCACCCACAGAAGAAGCACCGGCUAACUCCGUGCCAGCAGCCGCGGUAAUACGGAGGGUGCGAGCGUUAAUCGGAAUUACUGGGCGUAAAGCGCGCGUAGGCGGUCUGAUAAGCCGGUUGUGAAAGCCCCGGGCUCAACCUGGGAACGGCAUCCGGAACUGUCAGGCUAGAGUGCAGGAGAGGAAGGUAGAAUUCCCGGUGUAGCGGUGAAAUGCGUAGAGAUCGGGAGGAAUACCAGUGGCGAAGGCGGCCUUCUGGACUGACACUGACGCUGAGGUGCGAAAGCGUGGGUAGCAAACAGGAUUAGAUACCCCGGUAGUC